rnacentral:rRNA from 1 species
UACAGAGGGUGCAAGCGUUAAUCGGAAUUACUGGGCGUAAAGCGCACGUAGGUGGGCAUUUAAGUCGGAUGUGAAAUCCCCGGGCUCAACCUGGGAACUGCAUCCGAGACUGGAUGCCUUGAGUAUGGUAGAGGAAAGUAGAAUUUCCGGUGUAGCGGUGAAAUGCGUAGAUAUCGGAAGGAAUACCAGUGGCGAAGGCGGCUUUCUGGACCAAUACUGACACUGAGGUGCGAAAGCGUGGGGAGCAAAC